GACGAACGCUGGCGGCGUGCCUAAUACAUGCAAGUUGAGCGCUGAAGGUUGGUACUUGUACCGACUGGAUGAGCAGCGAACGGGUGAGUAACGCGUGGGGAAUCUGCCGUUGAGCGGGGGACAACAUUUGGAAACGAAUGCUAAUACCGCAUAACAACUUUAAACACAAGUUUUAAGUUUGAAAGAUGCAAUUGCAUCAAUCAAAGAUGAUCCCGCGUUGUUAUUAGCUAGUUGGUGAGGUAAAGGCUCACCAAGGCGAUGAUACAUAGCCGACCUGAGAGGGUGAUCGGCCACAUUGGGACUGAGACACGGCCCAAACUCCUACGGGAGGCAGCAGUAGGGAAUCUUCGGCAAUGGACGAAAGUCUGACCGAGCAACGCCGCGUGAGUGAAGAAGGUUUUCGGAUCGUAAAACUCUGUUGGUAGAGAAGAACGUUGGUCAGAGUGGAAAGCUCAUCAAGUGACGGUAACUACCCAGAAAGGGACGGCUAACUACGUGCCAGCCGCCGCAGUAA
rnacentral:rRNA from 1 species